UUGGAUUCAAUUAAUCAAAUUAAUUAUCCAUUUCGAUCACUUUGUUGUUCAUAAUCUUCCCUCGACAAGGCCACAUGGCGGACCCUCUAGGGACCCCAUGUUUCUAGUGACAGUCCGUUAAAAAAUCAAAAUGGAGGACAGAAGCGUAAAAAAAAAAGUUCAGUGGUUUGUUGACGUUACAAAUCCAGCUUUCAGGAUUGUGUGGAUAACUCAAUAAAAGUUUUAUGAUAAGUGAUUGGAGUGUUGCACUUUCAGUGCGAAAGUGCAAGGAAAUCGAGAACUGAAGUUCCAGGGUGUAUUUCUGGCAUGCCACCGCUGUCAGGAGGACUCGGUGAACGUAUUGAGGAGUACGAGGUACUGAAUCUCCUUGGUAAGGGCGGAUUUGCCAGCGUUUACAGGGCAAGAUGCCUGAAGACGAGGAUGGAAGUGGCGAUCAAAAUGAUCGACAAGAGAAUGAUGGAAGCAGCUGGGAUGUUGGAUAGAGUGGCCCAGGAAGUGUCUAUUCAUUCUCGACUGAAGCACCCAGCGAUACUGGAGCUCUACACUGCCUUUGAGGAUAUUAACUACGUCUACAUGGUGUUGGAAUUGUGCCACAAUGGAGAAUUACAGAGGUUCUUGAAGGCUGAAUAUCCACAUGGAUUCCCGGAGGAUCAAGCUGCUCAAAUAAUAAAACAAGUCGUUCAAGGACUUCUGUACCUCCACUGUCACCAAAUCCUCCACCGAGACAUGUCCCUCUCGAAUUUGUUAUUGACUCGAGACAUGCAAGUGAAGAUAGCAGACUUUGGUCUGGCAACGCAGCUCUCCAGGCCCGACGAGAAGCACAUGACGAUGUGCGGAACGCCGAAUUAUAUUUCCCCAGAAGUGGCGACAAGAUCUUCCCACGGAUUAGAGGCCGAUGUCUGGGGUCUAGGUUGCAUGCUAUACACUCUCCUAGUCGGUAGACCGCCAUUUGACACAGAUGCUGUUAAAAGUACUCUGACGAGGGUCGUCAUGGCGGAUUACAAGAUCCCUUCGCAUUUAUCGGAUAUGGCGAGGGAUUUGAUCGAGCGGUUACUGAGGAAAAAUCCCCUGGAGAGGAUCAAACUCAAGGACAUAUCGAAGCAUCCUUUUGUUGCUCGGCUAGAUAAGGAGAGACCUCAUCAUGAAAAAAUGUUGCGAGUGAUGUCCGGCGAUGUAAUGAUAGACUCGGGUCUGGGGCGAACUCUCUCCUCCUGCGGCCGGGUGCCUCGACUCCGUUCUCGUUCAGAGGAACGGGCCUCGACGGCCCCAGCGCUGAUAACUCCCCUGGGUCCCCAGUUCUCCGCUCGUAGUGAUCCAACCACCGACCCAAUCACCUUAAGUCAUCACUCCAACGCCCGGGCGCGGCACAUCGAUUGCCCCCCGGAGAACUCAGUUCUCUCUGGGAUAAUUCCUCCAGGAAGUCGGGUGAUCCCCCAGAACGUCCAAAGCUCCCAGCGCAGUGGCUACAGCUGUAAUAAGUUAGGCGACGAGAGGCAGAAGCGAAGGGAGAACCCAGUGCCAUCCAGGGAUAAUCCUCCCCUAGACCCAGAGCCCCAGGUUAAGCUCCAGAUUCCCCCCCUGAACACUCAACGGCUCCUUCCCGUUCGUCACAGGACGAAGAAUUUUAUCCUGACGAUUUUGGAUAACGGAGAAGUUUGCAUUGAAUUUUUGAGGAAGAAAAAUAAUUCAGUUGAUAAAAUAAGCGACGUCUGUAGAAUAUCCAGUGAUGGACUUCGAAUUGUCCUCUACCGGCCUGACAUCAGGGACAUUGGAGACGAGCCACCGCCCCUGCCCUCACGAGGUGCUGACAAUAUCUACUCUUACGAGAGCCUCCCGACGAGGCUCCACAGAAAAUACCUUUACGCUGCGAAAUUCGUGAAACUUGCGAAAUCAAAAACAUCGAAGUUGACGCUCUACACAGCCAAAGGAAAAUGCGCUUUCAUGGAGAAUGGACCCCAUCCUGACUGCGAAAUGCUCUUCUACGAUGGGAUCAAGGUGACGAAGGUCGAUGGGGUUGUUAAACUUGUGGAGAGAGAGGGAGGACGUAUUUUCAGUGAGGGAGACGUACCAGAGGAGAUGGAGGAGUACCUGGAGGCCUACCAGGAGUGCUAUCAGAGGUGCCUCCUCCUGGAGUCCUCCCUGGCCUCGUUGGAAUCGGCAACAGGACAUUCGUAUUUUCCAGCCAUCGUGGGACGCAGACCUGUGGCCCUGAGCGAUGGGACUCAGGGGAAGGAGAACGUGUCCAGAACUAUGUGCAGUCCUUUGGUUAUGCCUUCCUUUGAUGCUACGUGCUCAGUAGUCUCAGGCGUAACAACACGUUCGCGGAAGACGAAUUCAAUGCGCGUAUCUACCUACAACUUCAACAAAGUGAAUGUUCCCGGUAUUGGAGUUGCAACUCAAAUGCCAUCCGGUGAUAUCAAAGUGGAGUACAAAGACGGCUCAUCACUGAUGGUGAGCCCUCAAAGCAUCGGAGGGGGAAUAGUUUAUGAAAGUACAACAGGGGCUAUUACCAGAUACUCCAAGAAUCACCAGUACAAUUCAGAAGUGCCUUAUGCGGUUAGUCAAAAAUUGAAGAACCUACCGACUGUCAUAAAACAUCUCGCCCAACCAAAAUACAGGAAUUUGAGAUAAUUUUUAUGGCUGUAGAAUUUCUCCUGAGAUUAAUGAGUGGAAUGUGUAUCAUACGCUUCAACGAAUUGGAGAUAUAAUUUAUAGGAUUAUUUUUGUAUCAGAUUAAAGCGGUAUACUUGAGGUCUCCCAAUAAACAAAAAGGUCUCUCACCGUAAGAAAUGAACCAAUAAAAGUGUCAGUUACUGUACAAACUUUUCCGAUGGCCCUCACAAAAUGAUAAUACCCCAGCUCUUGUCGUAAUGACCUCGUUG